rnacentral:lncRNA from 1 species
GGGGGGAUGAGAGCAGUGUGACACAGACAUUGCAUCUUUGUUUUCUCAGCCAGUUUCUAUUUUCCACAACCAAGUACCAGCAAUGAUCACAAAAUACACUAAUACUGGGGAACACAGACAGCUGGAGAAAUACGGAACUGAAUAUUCUUCGUCUCCGACCAUCUGGCCAUGAGCUCCAUCUUAGAAGUAACUACCAUGCUGUACCCUCUGACCAUGAUAUAUCUGGCCUUAUGUCUCCAUCACUCAAUCUUUCUUUACAUGCCUAUCAGAUCUGGUGAAAAACAUAUGCCAGAUUCUGACAUGAAACUAUCUACAGAAAAAAGGUUGGAUUCCUGGAAAUCCUCAACAAACAGCUAUUUCACCUGAAACUGCUAAUGUAAGUCUCUUAGUGGUAGACUGCCAUGGUAGAAAUAUUGUAUAGUAGAAAUUUGAGCAGCAGAUUACAUAAAUCUGAAAGGGUUUACUGAAAGGAUAUUUCUUAUGAGGAACUAGAACUGGGAAUACAAGAAAUUCUCUCUCCAUCUUUCAAUCCUGCUGAAACUGAAGGAGAACCUCUCAGUUUUAAUUCAAAAUUAUAAAUAGAGGAAUAAUCCACCCAUCCAGAUUAGGUCAGGAGAUCACCGUUGAUCUAAUCAGCUGUCAUCAGGAUUUAAGAACACAUCAUAGAAACACGGCUGCCAGAAACCACCCUUGGAUGUUGCGUAGGGGAUCUGUUAUGAGAAAAAAAGGUCCAAAAAGACACGUGAAAUACAUCCACUAUAGUGGGGAUCAGAAGAUCUGCCAGAACAGUGAUGAUGAGGGAAUGCUCACUAAUAAAUAGCAGAUGAAAGCCUGCUUUGCAACCAUCCUGCCCAAUGCUCUUAUUUAUAAUUGAUGACCUAAGACACCAACAAUCCUGACAUUCCCCUUGCAGACUCUGGAUUGAGCUGUUCUCUCUCUUCUUCAAAGACCUACUCAGUCUCCUGGGCUUCUCACUCGAUCAGCUACAGAAUCACUGUGUCUCGUUAGUUCCACUCCACUUAUUUGCUGUUGCUCCUCCAAGUAAAUUCGUAGACAUUUUCACUUUAAAUGUUGUUUUUGGUUUUGGUUUCUGCAAUAAGUUCCAAUGAAAUAGACAUAAGAAAAUAAAAAUAACUAACCUGAGAAGUGUCGUGAAAUCUGAUAAAGCCCUCAUAGAAAGAGUUGUCUGGAUUUUUUCAAAUGUCAUUUGCAGGCAUCAUUCUUUACUAGUUUUAUGAUUUAGUCUUAUACUCACCAAUAAGGUCUGUAUUGGUUCAUUUUCACACUGCUAUAAAGAACUAGCUGAGACUGGGUAAUUUAUAAAGAAAAGGGGUU